GAUGCUGUUUCCAUUCUCACUUUACAGAUACACUGAAAUGCACAGGUCAUAUAGUUUGCUUAGGACCGCACAGCUAUAUGAGUAGCUGCAGAAUUCGUGUUCUCACCACUCCGUUUGUUCAUUUGGAAACAGAAUGGCCAAAACCUCCAGUUCACCAACUCCAGGAGGACCACCUCUUGAUGAAGGAACUUGAGGAGCUCAUGGUGGGGGACAGAACUGCUGACGCCCUCAUGAAUGAACAGAUAGAUUCCCGAGGUACAGCUGAGUCACCUACUAACUCAAGGACUCAAACCGUGCUUAUAUUUCAGGGCCUGGCACUGAAAUAAUCAUGGUUCUGUAAGAGUGGAGUGGGAGAGUUCUUUAUGUUCAUUCAAAAACACAUUUGUUUUAUAGAUAGGACAGUUUUUUUUAAAGAAUAUACUCAUAAGGAACAUAGAUUAUUUGAGUAAGCAAUUUGAGAAGGUUGUAGAAGCUACCUUUCCCCAGGCUUUCAAAAUAAGAUGAUCUAUCAUUCUCUGCAAUGCGACCCUUAUAAUGAGCUGGAUGACCUGUUACUCUCAAGUUUUUAAUGCAUCACCCAAUUUUCUUUUUACUCUUUUCUGUUUUCGACUCAUAUUUAAAUCAGAGACAGUAGGAGCCUAUAAGAAAUAUUGAACAUCAAACACUAACGUCAGGCUUCUUUGAGUUUCAAGUUGAAAUGGCUUUCAUGUAGAUCUUAUUCAACUGUGGUUGAUAGAAAAUAGAAAUAUUCACUUUUAUCAGAGUUGAAUGUAAUUUAGGAAAAGAAUUAGAAGCCAUAGCAGCAUGACACAAAGUAAAUUCUUCUCACUGAGCUUACCCAAGCUCAUCUGUACUCCAAAGCUUGCAGCUGUGUCA
rnacentral:lncRNA from 1 species